UAGUAAGACAUAUCGGUAUCAAAACGAGAUCGGUUUAUAAACGAAUCAGUAAUAAUGACCGUUAUAGUGGAGAGCAAAACUCGGCAGUCAACUCUCUGCUUUUGCUAUCGGACGUUAAUCUUCGCGGUUUUCAGCGUAGCUGUCGUUUUACGCUCCGGCUGCUACGGUCGCAGGGGGAAAAGGCAACAGUUCUCAUCUCUUCGCCUGUGUGCAACAUCGCCCAAAGGACCAGCAUUAGGAAAACUGACGCAAGUCCUGAGAUCUGAAAAUCCGGUUCUUGUCAACCCUUGCUGCCUAUGAAGGCUUUCUAAGGUGGGCUGGGCCAGACGUAUAACUGCUCUCCCAAAUUCUGCUGAGAGCAACCAUCACAUGAAAAAGGAAAAGGUAGACAGGAUAGAGGAGAGAGAGUGAGCUACAUGACUGACCUGAGAGAGAUUUCUUCGAGAUUAUUUAUGAGUCAAAGCAAGACUGAGUCAGGAGAGGCUGAGGAAGGCAGACAGAGCAAGAGGGCACAUGCUGUAGGAAGCGUUUCGGCAUAAA